GGCGAACGCUGGCGGCGUGCCUAAUACAUGCAAGUCGAGCGGACCGAAGGGAGCUUGCUCUUUUAGGUUAGCGGCGGACGGGUGAGUAACACGUGGGCAACCUGCCCUGCAGACUGGGAUAACUUCGGGAAACCGGAGCUAAUACCGGAUAAUAUUUUGAACCGCAUGGUUCAAAAGUGAAAGACGGUCUUGCUGUCACUUAUAGAUGGAUCCGCGCUGCAUUAGCUAGUUGGUAAGGUAACGGCUUACCAAGGCAACGAUGCAUAGCCGACCUGAGAGGGUGAUCGGCCACACUGGAACUGAGACACGGUCCAG
rnacentral:rRNA from 1 species